GGGGGUGUAAUGGGUUCGACGGGGGUAGAAGAGGCAAGAGAAGCGGGUCCAGGACCAUGGCCUGGUUAAAACAUGGAACGGCUAUAACUGCCAACAAUAGACUAGCUCUCGCUGCUUAAUUAAGCAGCCGCUUGCCUUCUCCCUGCCUGCAGGAAAAGAGCAGGUGUCAUAGCAGCAGGCUAUCCGGAUGGAGGCCGCUCCUCCUUCACCCGGGGAAACUAAAGGAGAUAGCUUGUGCAGCAUCUUGCUCCGGAGAGGCUGUACUGCGAAAACUAAACCCAGGGCUACGCUCGUAGAUGCUCUUGUGGCUUUGCCUUCGGACGCGGGUUCGAUUCCCGCCACCUCCACCA
rnacentral:tmRNA from 1 species